UACAGAGGGGGCAAGCGUUGUUCGGAAUUACUGGGCGUAAAGGGCUCGUAGGCGGCCAACUAAGUCACACGUGAAAUCCCCAGGCUUAACCUGGGAACUGCGUGUGAUACUGGAUGGCUUGAAUUCGGGAGAGGGAUGCAGAAUUCCAGGUGUAGCGGUGAAAUGCGCAGAUAUCAGGAGGAACACCAAUGGCGAAGGCAGCUCGCUGGGACGGUACUGACGCUGAGACGCGAAAGCGUGGGGAGCAAACAGG
rnacentral:rRNA from 1 species